rnacentral:rRNA from 2 species
AAAGCUCCUGUUGUUAGGGAAGAACAAAGUACCGGUUCGAAUAGGGCGGUACCUUGACGGUACCUAACCCAGAAAAGCCACGGCUAAUUACGUGCCAGCAGCCGCGGUAAUACGUAGGUGGCAAGCGUUGUCCGGAAUUAUUGGGCGUAAAGGGCUCGCAGGCGGUUUCUUAAGUCUGAUGUGAAAGCCCCCGGCUCAACCGGGGAGGGUCAUUGGAAACUGGGGAACUUGAGUGCAGAAGAGGAGAGUGGAAUUCCACGUGUAGCGGUGAAAUGCGUAGAGAUGUGGAGGAACACCAGUGGCGAAGGCGACUCUCUGGUCUGUAACUGACGCUGAGGAGCGAAAGCGUGGGGAGCGAACAGGAUUAGAUACCCUGGUAGUCCACGCCGUAAACGAUGAGUGCUAAGUGUUAGGGGGUUUCCGCCCCUUAGUGCUGCAGCUAACGCAUUAAGCACUCCGCCUGGGGAGUACGGUCGCAAGACUGAAACUCAAAGGAAUUGACGGGGGCCCGCACAAGCGGUGGAGCAUGUGGUUUAAUUCGAAGCAACGCGAAGAACCUUACCAGGUCUUGACAUCCUCUGACAAUCCUAGAGAUAGGACGUCCCCUUCGGGGGCAGAGUGACAGGUGGUGCAUGGUUGUCGUCAGCUCGUGUCGUGAGAUGUUGGGUUAAGUCCCGCAACGAGCGCAACCCUUGAUCUUAGUUGCCAGCAUUCAGUUGGGCACUCUAAGGUGACUGCCGGUGACAAACCGGAGGAAGGUGGGGAUGACGUCAAAUCAUCAUGCCCCUUAUGACCUGGGCUACACACGUGCUACAAUGGACAGAACAAAGGGCAGCGAAACCGCGAGGUUAAGCCAAUCCCACAAAUCUGUUCUCAGUUCGGAUCGCAGUCUGCAACUCGACUGCGUGAAGCUGGAAUCGCUAGUAAUCGCGGAUCAGCAUGCCGCGGUGAAUACGUU